GGCCCCGCCCACGUCAUGGCGCCCGAGGAGAAUGCGGGGACCGAACUCUUGCUGCAGAGUUUCGAGCGCCGCUUCCUGGCGGCGCGCACGCUGCGCUCCUUCCCCUGGCAGGGGGGCGGCGGGCGAGCGGAGAGGCCCGCGGGGCUCGCGGGAGUCCAGGGGCAGACGGGAUGGGUCUCCGUGCUGAAACCCCCGGCGCUCCUGCCACAGCUUAGAAGCAAAGUUAAGAGACUCAUCAGAUUCUGAGCUGCUGCGGGAUAUUUUGCAGAAGUAACCUGAAGCUUUCACCGUAGACGUGCUGUAUUGCCCAGAAGCCAUCGUGUCGCUGGUCGGGAUCCUGCGGAGGCUGGCUGCCUGCUGGGAGCACCAGCAGUCUCCUGAGGUCUACGUGGCCUUUACCGUCCACAACCCAGAGACGUGCCAGCUGUUCACCACCGAGCUAGGCCGGGCUGGGAUCAUAUGGGAAGCGGAAGCUCAUCAUGACCAGAAACUGUUUCCCUAUGGAGAGCACUUGGAGAUGGCAAUGCUGAACCUCACACUGUAGGACUCACACACGACUCCAACGGGAUUGUGAGAAUCAAGUCAAUCUCAUGGGAAGAAUUUUUAUAUGGGAAAGCGGAUAAAACUUUCAUUGUACUGGAAUGUUUGGAGAAUGUUAAAUUCCAAAUCAGAAACCACAAACUGCCCUCUAAUAAGACAUCGGCUAUCUAAGCGUG
ensembl:lncRNA FAM86DP family with sequence similarity 86 member D, pseudogene